GUGUGCUACUCAUGAAGCAGUUUGUUAGUUCCAAAAGGUGACUGCAACAUAUAUAGCUAAAUACAACAUUCUCUUACAGAAUCAAAUGUUAAGGUGGGACAAGAAAAACAUUGUGUCAAAUCAUUACAUUUCUUCAGAAAUUUUUAUGCAUUCUUUAAUUUCCCAAGACUGAAAAAGACAGUAUUACAAAGAACAUUUCAAGGUAGUUUCAAAGUCUAUUAGAAAAGCAGUCAUCUAAUUUUCUGUAUUUCUUUCAAAGAAAGUAAGUGCAUUUAUAGCAUGGACAGAAAUAAUCAUGCUACCUUUAUUAUAGCUGGCACAUAUAAUGAAUUAUAAUAUGGACUUAAUGACAACAUGUACUUGGAAUUCAUACAUUAAUUACAUGGAGAAGUCCAUAUCGUCAUGUCCUCAGUAUUAAAAUUGUUAGCAUUAGCUAGAUAAAGAUUGCAUGGUUAUGUCUAGUUAAACUAUAUUAUGUUUUUGUGAGCUGCAUGAAUUUACAGUAAAGGAAUUGGGAUGCCAAAUCACACUGCCUUUCAGCAGUAGCUGGCUAACACAACUCACCUCGUAAAACUUCGGCCUAUUCUGUAUUCAUUGAGAUGCAAUGUAUAACAGCACUAAUGUUUUCUUAUAUCCGAUUUUAUAGUUUCCAUUAAAUUUUAUAAUUUACCAUUGCCAAAAAAUGUUUUGGCGAUGGUAAAAAGAGUUUUCCUUUAACUGUUCUACAGCUCUUGUAUUUAAAAGCAUCAGAGUUGCUAAGUGUAAAUACUGAUUUUGUCAGUGUUAUUCCUGUGUCUCAAGGCAGAAGUGUCAGUAUCUGAAUGCUCAGCAGUGUUUACUAGAUUAUAAGCAUAAACAUUAACUCAUCAGCUUCACAGUCUGGACCACAUAAACAAGCCUUAAGAAAAAAUACUCGAUGCAAAUAUUAAUGACUAGACAGGGCCAGUUCAUAUGAAGGGGAAAAAAAUUGUCUGUUUUCAUAUUAUUAUUUUGGAGUUCCCCAAAACAAGACAUGACAAAACCCAAGGAUCUACCCAUUACUCAGCUGAUUUAAGUUUAUUAACACACUGGUGUUUCUUCUAAUAGCAAUUUUGACCCUUUCCUUGGCAUGUGCCAGUGAACUAGAACAAAAGUCAACAGAAGGUUUCAGGCAUAAUACCAGUUAUCCCAGCUUUUUCUGAAACACAUUUAGGAAAAAAAAAAUCUAAAAAUGCUAAACUAUGUCAGGUGAAACUUUCAAGACCACUUAGCAUAAUCUUAACUUUGAAAAGCUACAGCUGAAGUCUUAACUCAAAAAGCCUGUGCAAGUUUUCCUAACAGCUUCAACAAGAAAAGAGAACAUGAGCUUCAAGUUGAGACAGACCACGUCUCAUUACUUCAUCCAGCUCUGUGAUGGAGAAUCUAAGUUCGUCUGAGCUAAAGUCUCAUGAGACACUGGUAGAUCACUUCCCAUAUUUAUGAGUUUCACAAUCAGUAUCACUUAAGCCAGAUGGGACCUAAACUGAAAUUGGGUCAGCACUAAAGGAUAGUUCUCAAGAGAUUAUAAUUAAAGUAAUAUAAAACUUAGAUGAGUUAGUGUCCCUGUCCACCCCCAAGAUCUAUAUAUAUUUGGCUUAGUGUUUGACUAUAUCAAACAAUCAUAUUUCACUCACUUUUGGCCCCAGCAAGACUGUUAGCCACACCACCACCACCUGCUUCCUUAAAUGCGUGACUCAACUAGUGAUGAAAGCACUUGCAGUGCCUUAUUUCAUGUUUCAUCAACGGAUUACAUUUAGAGAAACAGAUGCCUUUAUUUUCAUCAUAUUGUUACAGUAAGUUAUUUUGUAAGCAUACUGUUUAUACUAAGCUAGCAAACUUUUCAGUUGAGUACUGAAACUUACCUGAAUUGUCCCCUAUGGAUUUUCCAAACCUAACAACAUUUUGUUGAAAAUUUUUCUAUACUGUCAAGUAGAGGUAAACAUGGGAUCUUAACUUCUAAAGAUAAUUAACUAGAUAGUUAAAAGUUCUUAACCUCAAAAAACAAGGAAUUGCUUAUUUCAGCACAUUAAGCUUCUCCAUGAGCACAAGUAAUCCUACAAACCAGAAAAGGAACUGUAAACGCAGUAAAGAACUUCCAGGUUUCAGCAAUUUCGUUAGAGCUAACUCUCCAGGUAAAGAGAGCUCAUAGUGAUAGCGCUGGCUUAAUGACCAAAACGGAACAGUAGACAACUGACAGUUAAUAAAAAUAGAGAUAUUAGAGGGUCAGAACAGCUAGUCUUGACCUAGAAGCAUUAUGAGAGUGACGAACCGUGCAUACAGGGACAGACGCUGCCAACCCACUAUGAAAUAAGCAUGCUGGUCAUUGCCUAGGUGAGAAGAUUUGGCCACUGCAUGCUGUGCUACAGUUAUUUAUGUCUAAAAUAACAGCAAAAUUAAGGAAAAAAUCCCUAAACAACCUCAAGAGGUGGACUUUUAUGCUCGAGCCUGUCCUUCCUCCUCAGCAUUUCCCUGUGGCACUUCUUCCCCAGCAGAGCAGAUGACAGUUGAGCUUAAAUACAUUGCUUUUCUACUGGACAACUCUAACAGGCUGUGAACAAGAAGGACCUAUGUGGAAACACUAUGGAAAUUAACAUCUGGUAGACUUCUGUAUGAAUGAUUUUGUAUGAGAAAGUGUCAUUCAUCUCACCAAAUAUUCCCACUCAAAACCAACACUGAUAGCAGUCUGUUGCUAGUUAUGCUUAAAAAAAAAAAAAGUAACUGCACCGAAUCACAAGAUAAAAUGUGUAUGUCUUAAGUUCCUGCAUGUGACAUUUGCUAUCAUUGGACUAUCUGAACAUUUUUCAGUGUCACAUUUUUCUUGUUACCAAGGUCUUGUUAUCAUAACACUGGUGGAAAAAAUGUGAGCAUUAUAUUGCAACCGAACUAAGGCUUAUUCUUUUUGCUUUUCUCUAAUAUGCCUUCUAAUGAGGAUACUGCAUCAAUUAACUUGCAUUUCCUGAGUCACCUGCUGUUUAAGAUUACAACCUUAAAAAAGUCUACUUUUAUAUAAAAUAAAUACGGCUCUUAAUUCA